rnacentral:rRNA from 1 species
AUUGAACGCUGGCGGCAGGCCUAACACAUGCAAGUCGAACGAGUGGCGGCCGGGUGAGUAAUGUCUGGGAAACUGCUCGAUGGAGGGGGAUAACUACUGGAAACGGUAGCUAAUACCGCAUACCAUCGGAUGUGCCCAGAUGGGAUUGGCUUGUAGGUGAGGUAACGGCUCACCUAGGCGACGAUCCCUAGCUGGUCUGAGAGGAUGACCAGCCACCAUGGAACUGAGACACGGUCCAGACGCCUACGGGAGGCAGCAGUGGGGAAUAUUGGACAAUGGGCGAAAGCCUGAUCCAGCCAUGCCGCGUGUGUGAAGAAGGUCGUCGGAUUGUAAAGCACUUUAAGUUGGGAGGCGUUACCAACAGAAUAAGCACCGGCUAACUUCGUGCCAGCAGCCGCGGUAAUAC